UACCCACUAAGCUACCUGCCGCCCUAACUAGAGUCAAAAAGAGUGCCUCGGCCCCUCUUGCUUGGUAAACUACUAUGGCUCCCCAAGCCCUUUAGUGGAUAUACACUACACAAGGUGGACUUCCUUUCUGGGUGGAACGAAACGAAAAGAGUCCGCUGCCCCCCCAAAAACGACUGCACGCACGUAGAUCAAUGGAGUGGAGCUUGCAGCCGCCUAUAUGCGGAUGCGAUGGAUUGAGAUGCAGCCCAUGCAAAAAAAACAGAUACUGUAUCUCUAGCUUUAACUGACGGAUUUUGAUGGGGAUUUUUUAUUAUGUUACUUAUAUUGACGUACCGGUGCGUCAAUAGACUCUAGGGGGAUGUUAUUAAUAUGACAAUGUCUAAUUCAGUUACAUUUUAGGAAUGUCAGAUAAUACGUUGAAAAGUAAAGGGCAUUGAGGCAAAGUCAUAUAGCGAUUGAGAACUAAACUGCUAACAAACACAAUGUGGAACAAAACUGUAACUGAAUUGAUCAUUGGCUGUAGGGUUUAUUGAUCAUUGGCUUUGCACAUGCUGGACCUGCUAAAAUGAUUGUUCUCUCAUUUCCUAUAGCUACAGCUCUAGCUGUAAUCCUGUUUGCUCUGCCUCCACUGUCCCAUGCUGCAUGUGUCAUCUUUCAAACUAUGAAACCAGGGCUUCUUAAAUAUGACGUAUUUAAGAAGAAUGAUCGAUCUGUGCCAUGGCCGUACAUUGGUGGUGCGGGGAAAUGAUUGGUGUUGUCUGUCAUUUACUGCCAGUAAAAUAUCAAUUAAAAAUAUCAUUCAAUCAUUCAACAUC